rnacentral:rRNA from 1 species
AACGAACGCUGGCGGCGCGCCUAAUACAUGCAAGUCGAGCGAGAAGACGUAGCAAUACGUUUGUAAAGCGGCGAACGGGUGAGGAAUACAUGGGUAACCUACCCUCGAGUGGGGAAUAACUAGCCGAAAGGUUAGCUAAUACCGCGUACGCUCCUUGGACUUCGGUUCAGGGAGGAAAGCGAUACCGUGGGUAUCGCGCUCUUGGAUGGGCUCAUGUCCUAUCAGCUUGUUGGUGAGGUAACGGCUCACCAAGGCUUCGACGGGUAGCUGGUCUGAGAGGACGAUCAGCCACACUGGCACUGCGACACGGGCCAGACUCCUACGGGAGGCAGCAGUAAGGAAUAUUGCGCAAUGGGCGAAAGCCUGACGCAGCGACGCCGCGUGA